rnacentral:rRNA from 1 species
UCAGGAUGAACGCUAGCUACAGGCUUAACACAUGCAAGUCGAGGGGCGAGCGGGGAUCUAGCUUGCUAGAUUGCCGGCGACCGGCGCACGGGUGAGUAACGCGUAUCCAACCUUCCCCUUAGUAGGGCAUGGCCCGUAGAAAUGCGGAUUAAUACCCUAUGUUAUUCGUCGAUGACAUCUGAAGUGAAUCAAAGGUUUACCGCUAAGGGAUGGGGAUGCGUCUGAUUAGGCAGCAGGCGGGGUAACGGCCCACCUGGCCGACGAUCAGUAGGGGUUCUGAGAGGAAGGUCCCCCACAUUGGAACUGAGACACGGUCCAAACUCCUACGGGAGGCAGCAGUGAGGAAUAUUGGUCAAUGGGCGCGAGCCUGAACCAGCCAAGUAGCGUGCCAGGAUGACGGCCCUAUGGGUUGUAAACUGCUUUUAUGCGGGGAUAAAGUGCGGCACGCGUGCCGUUUUGUAGGUACCGCAUGAAUAAGGACCGGCUAAUUCCGUGCCAGCCGCCGC